GAUGAACGCUGGCGGCGUGCCUAAUACAUGCAAGUCGAGCGAACAGACGAGGAGCUUGCCCCUCUGACGUUAGCGGCGGACGGGUGAGUAACACGUGGGUAACCUACCUAUAAGACUGGGAUAACUCCGGGAAACCGGGGCUAAUACCGGAUAAUACAUGAAACCGCAUGGUUUCAUGAUGAAAGACGGUUUUGCUGUCACUUAUAGAUGGACCCGCGGCGUAUUAGCUAGUUGGUAAGGUAACGGCUUACCAAGGCAACGAUACGUAGCCGACCUGAGAGGGUGAUCGGCCACACUGGAACUGAGACACGGUCCAGACUCCUACGGGAGGCAGCAGUAGGGUAUCUUCCGCAAUGGGCGAAAGCCUGACGGAGCAACGCCGCGUGAGUGAUGAAGGUCUUCGGAUCGUAAAACUCUGUUAUUAGGGAAGAACAAGGGUGUAAGUAACUAUGCACCCCUUGACGGUACCUAAUCAGAAAGCCACGGCUAACUACGUGCCAGCAGCCGCGGUAAUACGUAGGUGGCAAGCGUUAUCCGGAAUUAUUGGGCGUAAAGCGCGCGUAGGCGGUUUUUUAAGUCUGAUGUGAAAGCCCACGGCUCAACCGUGGAGGGUCAUUGGAAACUGGAAAACUUGAGUGCAGAAGAGGAAAGUGGAAUUCCAUGUGUAGCGGUGAAAUGCGCAGAGAUAUGGAGGAACACCAGUGGCGAAGGCGACUUUCUGGUCUGCAACUGACGCUGAUGUGCGAAAGCGUGGGGAUCAAACAGGAUUAGAUACCCUGGUAGUCCACGCCGUAAACGAUGAGUGCUAAGUGUUAGGGGGUUUCCGCCCCUUAGUGCUGCAGCUAACGCAUUAAGCACUCCGCCUGGGGAGUACGGCCGCAAGGCUGAAACUCAAAGGAGUUGACGGGGACCCGCACAAGCGGUGGAGCAUGUGGUUUAAUUCGAAGCAACGCGAAGAACCUUACCAAAUCUUGACAUCCUUUGACAACUCUAGAGAUAGAGCCUUCCCCUUCGGGGGACAAAGUGACAGGUGGUGCAUGGUUGUCGUCAGCUCGUGUCGUGAGAUGUUGGGUUAAGUCCCGCAACGAGCGCAACCCUUAAGCUUAGUUGCCAGCAUUAAGUUGGGCACCCUAAGUUGACUGCCGGUGACAAACCGGAGGAAGGUGGGGAUGACGUCAAAUCAUCAUGCCCCUUAUGAUUUGGGCUACACACGUGCUACAAUGGACGGUACAAAGGGCAGCGAACCCGCGAGGUCAAGCAAAUCCCAUAAAGCCGUUCUCAGUCCGGAUUGUAGUCUGCAACUCGACUACAUGAAGCUGGAAUCGCUAGUAAUCGUAGAUCAGCAUGCUACGGUGAAUACGUUCCCGGGUCU
rnacentral:rRNA from 1 species